UCUCUGCGCCAUAUAGCAAGACCGGAAAUAAUAACAUUUUAGCAGCCGCAUUUUUAGUGGGAGAGAUAUUAUGUCGCAAUGGGUGAAAAUAUUUUAUUUAAUUAUCUAGAUCUUAUUUCGGUUGUUUCAUAUUUCGAGUUGACAACUGUUCCAAGGUAAAAAAUAUUUUUGAACUUAGGUAUUAUACAUUUUCAUUUCAACCAAUCUUUUCACUAAAUUAUUAAUGAUUUUAAUAUAAUAUAAAGUCAUACCUACAUCCACAUGUAGUUAUUUCAAGGUUUACUUUUACUGUAUGUAUUAUUAGAAUCCCGUUUUUAGGAAUAUCCCAGUUUAAGGAAUACAAAUUUGAGGCCCCGAAACUUUUUCAUUUACUCUUUAAGGGGGUAGGUGCAAAAUCUUAGUCCAAUGCUAUUUAAAUUCAUUCAUUUUUUUCGAAUCCUGAGAAAACUAAUAAUAAGUAUUUUUGAAAAAUGUAAAUGCAGAAAGAACAAUUACAUUAUUACCAAGGGCCGAAAGUCUCAUGAAAACUUCUAUAAUGUUUAUUUUAUUAAGUUAGUUCUUUAAGUUAGUUAUUUUAAGUUCUAGCUGCAACAAACCAUUUAUUUUUCUGUUUUAAAUUGGCUGGAACGGUAAUAAAAAUCUUGUCAGAACUGUUUUUUGAUGUAUUUACACACCCAGGAACAAAACACAACUUAUUUGGCUUUAUUUUUAAUAAUUAAAUACGUAAAAAACUGCGCACAUUCAAAUACACUGAGUAAAUAAGUAUACAAAACUAGUCGUCGAUCAAAGCAUAGAGGUAUAUAUUGACAUAGAGAGAGUGUCAUUCGGAGCGAAGUGACGACACCAUCUUUUUUCUUUGGAUUAGUGCUACUUCACUCUUACACAUAGUAAAGCUGCGACAGUAUGAUAAACGUCAUUUUUAAGUUAGGAGAAGUACGAAGUUAGCUGAUGUCUUUCCUGUUAUUUUUAUUUAGUCACUGUUUACAUUGGACAUUGACAUUUAUUUGUAGAUGUUGUUAGACGAAUAUUCUGUUUGGUUUUGUUUUUUAUUGUUAAUUGUGCAGCGAAAUUGUGAUAGUAAAUUAAAUAUAAAGUUGUUUAUAGCCUACAGAACUGAAUUAUCCCAUAGUAAUUAUCAGUUUGUGUCAAUUUGUUUGUGUGCAAAAAAGAAAAAACACCUUUCCUUGUGUUUGACCGACUUGUAGCAAGGGCUUUCUUGAGAAGCCUGUAAAUUGCGGGAAUAGGACAGACACGGAUAAAAUCCUCACUUUUUACUGUCCCCAAGGCUAUACAUUUCCCCCAUGCAAUACAUUUAAAUGAAUUUUAUCCAAACAAAGGCAGGAACAUUGGAUAAAAGCAAUAAAGAGAACAGACCACAAAUUAAAAUAUGAGAGUAUGUAGUAAACAUUUUAUAAGUGGAAUAAACACCAGCUAUUUUAAAUGUAGGAAAAGGAGAAACUGCUGGAAUAUAAUUUUACACAAAUGUUUUUGACUAUUGAAGAUUUGGAUAAACAACAGAAGUUACUUUGGGCUAUAGCUAUGUGCAGAUUUAUUUCCUUGUGGAUUACUAUGUUUAUUCUUUUUAACUAUACUUCCUAUAUUGUUUGUGAGAUUAAUAUUAUUAUUUAAUUGAUUAUAUUAAUAUUUUGUAAUAAUAAUCAAUGCUUUGGUUUAACAAAUAGACAACUUAGAAUAGAAAAA
rnacentral:lncRNA from 1 species